UAAUACGUAGGGUGCAAGCGUUAAUCGGAAUUACUGGGCGUAAAGCGUGCGCAGGCGUUUCGGAAAGAAAGAUGUGAAAUCCCAGAGCUUAACUUUGGAACUGCAUUUUUAACUACCGGGCUAGAGUGUGUCAGAGGGAGGUGGAAUUCCGCGUGUAGCAGUGAAAUGCGUAGAUAUGCGGAGGAACACCGAUGGCGAAGGCAGCCUCCUGGGAUAACACUGACGCUCAUGCACGAAAGCGUGGGGAGCAAACAGGAUUAGAUACCCUGGUAGUCCACGCCCUAAACGAUGUCAACUAGCUGUUGGGGCCUUCGGGCCUUGGUAGCGCAGCUAACGCGUGAAGUUGACCGCCUGGGGAGUACGGUCGCAAGAUUAAAACUCAAAGGAAUUGACGGGGACCCGCACAAGCGGUGGAUGAUGUGGAUUAAUUCGAUGCAACGCGAAAAACCUUACCUACCCUUGACAUGUCUGGAAUGCCGAAGAGAUUUGGCAGUGCUCGCAAGA
rnacentral:rRNA from 1 species